AGUCGCCAUGCUUCUCCUCUCCAAGAUGGAUGUAGGUUAAGAUCUCUCCUGGGCCCACUCAACACACCACAGAGAUACGUGUGUCUCAGUGCUUACUGCUGCACUGAUCACAGUAGCCAGGAAACGGAGGCCACCUGGAUGCCCAUCAACAGAUGAAUGGAAGAAUGGAGCCUUGGGCUAAGGAAAACAGAAAGUCUCCAGGAGCCUGGAAAUGUGAGACAAAGGCACCUCUCCUAGUGCCCCAGAUGGAACACAGCCCUGAGAAAGCCUGGAUUUUAGCACAGUCUGUCCCAUUUCUGCUUUGGACCUCCAGAAUUUUGAGACAAU